GCUUGCACCUGCCGGCGAGUGGCGAACGGGUGAGUAAUGCAUCGGAACGUACCCAGUCGUGGGGGAUAACGCAGCGAAAGCUGUGCUAAUACCGCAUACGUCCUGAGGGAGAAAGCAGGGGAUCUUCGGACCUUGUGCGAUUGGAGCGGCCGAUGUCAGAUUAGCUAGUUGGUGAGGUAAAAGCUCACCAAGGCGACGAUCUGUAGCUGGUCUGAGAGGAUGAUCAGCCACACUGGAACUGAGACACGGUCCAGACUCCUACGGGAGGCAGCAGUGGGGAAUUUUGGACAAUGGGGGCAACCCUGAUCCAGCCAUGCCGCGUGAGUGAAGAAGGCCUUCGGGUUGUAAAGCUCUUUCGGCCGGGAAGAAAUCGUGCAGGCUAAUACCCUGUAUGGAUGACGGUACCGGAAUAAGAAGCACCGGCUAACUACGUGCCAGCAGCCGCGGUAAUACGUAGGGUGCGAGCGUUAAUCGGAAUUACUGGGCGUAAAGCGUGCGCA
rnacentral:rRNA from 1 species